UGCUAGUGCAAAUGGACCCAGAAUUGGAAG
rnacentral:piRNA from 1 species